AACCCGGUGAUCUAGCCAUGGGCAGGUUGAAGGUUGGGUAACACUAACUGGAGGACCGAACCGACUAAUGUUGAAAAAUUAGCGGAUGACUUGUGGCUGGGGGUGAAAGGCCAAUCAAACCGGGAGAUAGCUGGUUCUCCCCGAAAGCUAUUUAGGUAGCGCCUCGUGAAUUCAUCUUCGGGGGUAGAGCACUGUUUCGGCUAGGGGGUCAUCCCGACUUACCAACCCGAUGCAAACUACGAAUACCGAAGAAUGUUAUCACGGGAGACACACGGCGGGUGCUAACGUCCGUCGUGAAGAGGGAAACAACCCAGACCGCCAGCUAAGGUCCCAAAGUCAUGGUUAAGUGGGAAACGAUGUGGGAAGGCACAGACAGCCAGGAUGUUGGCUUAGAAGCAGCCAUCAUUUAAAGAAAGCGUAAUAGCUCACUGGUCGAGUCGGCCUGCGCGGAAGAUGUAACGGGGCUAAACCAUGCACCGAAGCUGCGGCAGCGACACUAUGUGUUGUUGGGUAGGGGAGCGUUCUGUAAGCCUGCGAAGGUGUGCUGUGAGGCAUGCUGGAGGUAUCAGAAGUGCGAAUGCUGACAUAAGUAACGAUAAAGCGGGUGAAAAGCCCGCUCGCCGGAAGACCAAGGGUUCCUGUCCAACGUUAAUCGGGGCAGGGUGAGUCGACCCCUAAGGCGAGGCCGAAAGGCGUAGUCGAUGGGAAACAGGUUAAUAUUCCUGUACUUGGUGUUACUGCGAAGGGGGGACGGAGAAGGCUAUGUUAGCCGGGCGACGGUUGUCCCGGUUUAAGCAUGUAGGCUGGUUGUCCAGGCAAAUCCGGAUAAUCAAGGCUGAGGUGUGAUGACGAGGCACUACGGUGCUGAAGUAACAAAUGCCCUGCUUCCAGGAAAAGCCUCUAAGCAUCAGGUAACAUCAAAUCGUACCCCAAACCGACACAGGUGGUCAGGUAGAGAAUACCAAGGCGCUUGAGAGAACUCGGGUGAAGGAACUAGGCAAAAUGGUGCCGUAACUUCGGGAGAAGGCACGCUGGUGUGUAGGUGAAGUCCCUGCGGAUGGAGCUGAGACCAGUCGAAGAUACCAGCUGGCUGCAACUGUUUAUUAAAAACACAGCACUGUGCAAACACGAAAGUGGACGUAUACGGUGUGACGCCUGCCCGGUGCCGGAAGGUUAAUUGAUGGGGUUAUCCGUAAGGAGAAGCUCUUGAUCGAAGCCCCGGUAAACGGCGGCCGUAACUAUAACGGUCCUAAGGUAGCGAAAUUCCUUGUCGGGUAAGUUCCGACCUGCACGAAUGGCGUAAUGAUGGCCAGGCUGUCUCCACCCGAGACUCAGUGAAAUUGAACUCGCUGUGAAGAUGCAGUGUACCCGCGGCAAGACGGAAAGACCCCGUGAACCUUUACUAUAGCUUGACACUGAACAUUGAGCCUUGAUGUGUAGGAUAGGUGGGAGGCUUUGAAGCGUGGACGCCAGUCUGCGUGGAGCCAACCUUGAAAUACCACCCUUUAAUGUUUGAUGUUCUAACGUUGGCCCCUUACCGGGGUUGCGGACAGUGUCUGGUGGGUAGUUUGACUGGGGCGGUCUCCUCCCAAAGCGUAACGGAGGAGCACGAAGGUUAGCUAAUCCUGGUCGGACAUCAGGAGGUUAGUGCAAUGGCAUAAGCUAGCUUGACUGCGAGCGUGACGGCGCGAGCAGGUGCGAAAGCAGGUCAUAGUGAUCCGGUGGUUCUGAAUGGAAGGGCCAUCGCUCAACGGAUAAAAGGUACUCCGGGGAUAACAGGCUGAUACCGCCCAAGAGUUCAUAUCGACGGCGGUGUUUGGCACCUCGAUGUCGGCUCAUCACAUCCUGGGGCUGAAGUAGGUCCCAAGGGUAUGGCUGUUCGCCAUUUAAAGUGGUACGCGAGCUGGGUUUAGAACGUCGUGAGACAGUUCGGUCCCUAUCUGCCGUGGGCGCUGGAGAAUUGAGGGGGGCUGCUCCUAGUACGAGAGGACCGGAGUGGACGCAUCACUGGUGUUCGGGUUGUCAUGCCAAUGGCACUGCCCGGUAGCUAAAUGCGGAAGAGAUAAGUGCUGAAAGCAUCUAAGCACGAAACUUGCCCCGAGAUGAGUUCUCCCUGAGACUUUAAGUCUCCUGAAGGAACGUUGAAGACGACGACGUUGAUAGGCCGGGUGUGUAAGCGCAGCGAUGCGUUGAGCUAACCGGUACUAAUGAACCGUGAGGCUUAACCUUACAACGCCGAAG
rnacentral:rRNA from 1 species